UGAAGAGUUUGAUCAUGGCUCAGAUUGAACGCUGGCGGCAGGCCUAACACAUGCAAGUCGAACGGUAACAGGAAGCAGCUUGCUGCUUUGCUGACGAGUGGCGGACGGGUGAGUAAUGUCUGGGAAACUGCCUGAUGGAGGGGGAUAACUACUGGAAACGGUGGCUAAUACCGCAUAACGUCGCAAGACCAAAGAGGGGGACCUUCGGGCCUCUUGCCAUCAGAUGUGCCCAGAUGGGAUUAGCUUGUUGGUGAGGUAACGGCUCACCAAGGCGACGAUCCCUAGCUGGUCUGAGAGGAUGACCAGCCACACUGGAACUGAGACACGGUCCAGACUCCUACGGGAGGCAGCAGUGGGGAAUAUUGCACAAUGGGCGCAAGCCUGAUGCAGCCAUGCCGCGUGUAUGAAGAAGGCCUUCGGGUUGUAAAGUACUUUCAGCGGGGAGGAAGGUGUUGUGGUUAAUAACCGCAGCAAUUGACGUUACCCGCAGAAGAAGCACCGGCUAACUCCGUGCCAGCAGCCGCGGUAAUACGGAGGGUGCAAGCGUUAAUCGGAAUUACUGGGCGUAAAGCGCACGCAGGCGGUCUGUCAAGUCGGAUGUGAAAUCCCCGGGCUCAACCUGGGAACUGCAUUCGAAACUGGCAGGCUUGAGUCUUGUAGAGGGGGGUAGAAUUCCAGGUGUAGCGGUGAAAUGCGUAGAGAUCUGGAGGAAUACCGGUGGCGAAGGCGGCCCCCUGGACAAAGACUGACGCUCAGGUGCGAAAGCGUGGGGAGCAAACAGGAUUAGAUACCCUGGUAGUCCACGCCGUAAACGAUGUCUACUUGGAGGUUGUGCCCUUGAGGCGUGGCUUCCGGAGCUAACGCGUUAAGUAGACCGCCUGGGGAGUACGGCCGCAAGGUUAAAACUCAAAUGAAUUGACGGGGGCCCGCACAAGCGGUGGAGCAUGUGGUUUAAUUCGAUGCAACGCGAAGAACCUUACCUGGUCUUGACAUCCACGGAAGUUUUCAGAGAUGAGAAUGUGCCUUCGGGAACCGUGAGACAGGUGCUGCAUGGCUGUCGUCAGCUCGUGUUGUGAAAUGUUGGGUUAAGUCCCGCAACGAGCGCAACCCUUAUCCUUUGUUGCCAGCGGUCCGGCCGGGAACUCAAAGGAGACUGCCAGUGAUAAACUGGAGGAAGGUGGGGAUGACGUCAAGUCAUCAUGGCCCUUACGACCAGGGCUACACACGUGCUACAAUGGCGCAUACAAAGAGAAGCGACCUCGCGAGAGCAAGCGGACCUCAUAAAGUGCGUCGUAGUCCGGAUUGGAGUCUGCAACUCGACUCCAUGAAGUCGGAAUCGCUAGUAAUCGUGGAUCAGAAUGCCACGGUGAAUACGUUCCCGGGCCUUGUACACACCGCCCGUCACACCAUGGGAGUGGGUUGCAAAAGAAGUAGGUAGCUUAACCUUCGGGAGGGCGCUUACCACUUUGUGAUUCAUGACUGGGGUGAAGUCGUAACAAGGUAACCGUAGGGGAACCUGCGGUUGGA
rnacentral:rRNA from 1 species